rnacentral:tRNA from 1 species
AAUUAUUUAGCUUAAUAAAAGCAUGUAUCUUGAAAAUACAAGAUAAAAGUUAGACCUAUUAAUAAUUU